CGGUGCCAUAUCAUCAUCUAUGCGAUGAGUUGAUUGUUAAAAUCUUCACCAGACUACAUCCCCAAUCCCUCCUACGUUUUAGGUCACUUUAAGACACAUUAAGUAAUUAUCACGUGAAGGGUUCUAGACAUUACAUCCACAAGGCCAAUUGCCAUCAUGUCCAUACAUUGGUAUGUGAUUAUAUAACACCGGUAUAGUUUCCUUCCAUGUUGUCAAAAUCUGACUUAUAUUUUUAAUGACCUGGACAAGUAACCCGACCCGAAGGGAAGUGGACACCCAAUGGCGAUUUCGAAAGGAGAAGUGUUUGGAGAAUUUAUUUGUUUUCUGAGUUAUCUUGCCAUUGAAAUUAGCUCCAGUAAAACCUAAAUCAAUAUUCAGUUUUAAAACACACAUCCACACACCCCUACACGUUUAUGUUUUCAAAUGGAAGACAAGGCUAGCUACUCCUCCUUUCGGCCAUCUAUUUUUCUAGCGACCAGCCCGACAACCGCGUCGUCAGUCGUCUGCCGUUUUGUUCAUCUACCGUUAUGCCUGGCCUUAGAAAAAAGCACAACCACAUGAUGUCAGCUCAUCUAUGUGACGAGUUGAUUUGUGAAAUCUUUACAAUUGAUAUCAAAAUCAUGUUUGGUCAAUGGAGCGUUACAUUGCUAGGUGGUAUCUAAUGUCAGAGGGAGAUGUUAUGUAUUGACAUUCGAUUUGAGCACUCAUGUUUUUGGCAGAAUUGCAUUGCCAAAACACUGUUUGACAGCAACACCCAUCCAAGGUUCUUUAGCUGUGAUUUCUGAUUAUAAUUGCAUUCGGGUGAGGGGAGAUUGUUCAAGCCUAGUGGACUUCAAUGAUGCUUCUUUGUAUUUGAUGUUGUUUGGUGUCUCGAAUGCCUUCAAUUGUUAGACAUGGGGACCCCUUGCGAGGGAAAAAAAUAUCUUUUCCUUUAAGGAAUAAUGACCCACCAUCAAUAUUGUAUGUAUCAGAUUCAGAUGAUGAUGAUGAUGAUGAUGAUGAUGGGUAUUAGAUCUGAUUAUCUGGAUUAUUUAUUUCCAUAUGAGAUGAGAUGUUUGAGAAUCUUAAACUUUUUGAUGAUAAUCAUAUACAGCUACAUUUUUAUCUUAAA